AGAGAGCGCCGGGGAGCCGCGACCCUUGCUGUUGGGCCGCGGUAGUCCGCGGAGUCGGGAUGAUGCUCUGCUGUUCGCUAGAUAGGCUGGGAAAGGCUCCAGUCAAGUUUCCAGAGCAAAACACUUCUCUGCUGCGAGAGGAGGAAGGUGCUGCCGGCUACCGAAGCCAUUCUGAAAUAUUCUUUAUAGUACAGGAGCUGUGUAGUCGCUGAGGGUACACACAUGCGGAGCAUUCGGAUAAACUGCCUUUGCAAAAAUUGUAAGUGAGAAAAUUAUGACAGUGAAAGAGAUCUGACUUACCCAGUUCCGUCUUGCUUCUAACCUCCGAACUGCCCUUGUUCAUUCCUGGGUAUAGGCCAAACUAACUUUGGGAGGAAUUUAGUUUAUAGUUGAACUUCGAAGCAAAGAUAACAGCCCUUCCCCAAAACAAACCCCCUUCUUGCCUGGGGACCAGACUGCCUUUGUAAGACUAACAAAUUAGCCACAAGAUUAGAAAUUAUGGUUUAGGAGUCAUCCAGACAGAGGUCACAAGAUUCCAAACCUUCCCUAUUGCUCCAAGGGAUAACAUCACUAUUGUAAAAUCUAAGAUCGGUGCUGGGGAUAUUUUUCAGACCCUGCAUUCUGAGGCACCAGCUGGCAGUACCUAGACCAGUUAUCUGGCUCAGCCAGUUCUGCAAUCCCACCCAGGAACAGAAAACAGCAAGAAGAACCCACUUAGACCCCCCUAUGAUUUCAUCUCCAACCUGACCAAUCAGCACUCCCCACUGCCUGAUACCUACCAGCCGAAUUAUCCUUAAAAAACCCCAGUCUCUGAAUUAUCGGGGAGACUUAUUUGAGUGAUAAAACUCUGGUAUCUCAUUCAGCCGGCUCUGCAUGAAUUAAAAUCUCCAUUGCAAUUCCCCUGUCUUGAUGAAUCAGCUCUGGGCAACGGGCAAGGAGAACCCGUCCGGCAAUUAUAUCAGAACCUGUCUUCAGUCCAGGAGGGGAACCCAGAGGCUUCAUCAGACCCCUCCAAUACUGUAGAUAAAAGUGCUGCUGGAAGUCUCACAAGUCAGAGGGGCCCAGCCUGGGGGAAACCUUCCAUGGGGAGUCCUGCUGGCUUCUCGCAGGAACGGACCCCACAGCUGAGCUUUGCAAGCCAAUUAGGUGCCAAGAGGCACCAAGGAGUAGAUUCAUUCGGUAGUAGGGCCCCCCCUUCCCCAGACCUCCACAAAAAAGGCACGUACGUAAGAGGUUAGAAAGCACUUUUCGUUCGUUUGUUUGUUUGUUCGUUUGUUUUGAGAUGGAGUCUUGCUCUGUCGACCAGGCUGGAGUACAGUGGCACAGUCUCAGCUCACUGCAACCUCCGCCUCCCGGGUUCAAGCGAUUCUCCUGCCUCAGCCUCACAAGUAGCUGGGAUUACAGGCGCACACCUCCACACCUGGCUAAUUUUUGUAUUUUUAGUGGAGACCGGGUCUCACCAUGUUGACCAGGCUGGCCUCAAACCCCUGACCUCAGGUGAUCUGCCCACCUUGGCCUCUCAAAGUGCUGGGAUUACAGGCGUGAGCCACUGUGCCCGGCCUAGAGGGUACUUUUUAAUGGGUGGGUUUCUUUGUUCAUACUGCCAGGUUGAGCUUAGCCUGCAGCAGCAGGAGUUGAGUACAGACAUUAACCAGGUGAAAUUAUUAAAGAUGAUGCUAGGGGAGAGGAGAUAUUCUGAAAUGGGAUGAAUAAGGGGCCCACUUGGCAAUAGAGAGUGAGGCUGAGGCUGGUGACCCCUCAGGUUUCUGCCACCUCUGUAUUUUCCUCUUUCUCCUGUGGGGAAUGCCAAUGUACCUGCUGUUGUCUAGCCAUCUGCCUGACCACUGGCCACAAUCAGCCCACUGAGUCUUUAGUAAGAGGCAACAAGGACCCUCUACUUCCCCUCUCACAUCUCUGAUCCACCUCUUCUCCUUCUUGAAAUGUUUUUUUUUUUUUCAUCUGUUGGGUCACAGAAAACGAUUCCCCAAAAUAUGGUGUUUGAGCAUACGGAGUGCUUUUGAGAAUUAAAAGAAAACAAGCCUCAGAAUCAAGGUACCUCUAACCUUGUCUUGUUCCUCCGCUCAACCCCAAGCAUAGGGGAAGACUCUCUCUGGAAUUUCCUUGUCUCACCAAGAAAGCUUUUUUUUUUUUUUUUUGAGACAGGGUUUUGCUCUGUCGUCCAGGAUCAAGUACAGUGGUGCCAUCACAGCUCACUGAAGCCUCAAAUUCUGGGGCUCAAGCAGUCCUCUGUGAAACAAAAAUAAAGCUAAGUCUUCUCUACCCCCAGCCAUCUGCAUGGACCCCUCCUCUCAGCCAAGGGCAUUCCAAAGUUAACCUGAAAAACUAGUUCAGGCCAUGAUGGGAAGGGGGAGUCAGACAUGCCUCACUACCGUUGUGAAAGAAAAAUAAAUUUCAGGACCCCCAAAUCAUGAAGUCAAGGGAAAAGUCAAGCUGGAGACUAUGUCAGGCAAUUCUGCCUCCCAUUUUAUUUCUAAAUAAGGUAGCUACAAAGAUCAAAAUUACAUAUCCCCCUCACAAUUUGCCCACAAGGAAUUUCCUUGUGGACAAAGGACAGACAUGACUCAAAGUCAUCUUUCUGAGGCUCACCUGAGACAAAUGUGUAUUCGAUUGCCUCCUCUGCCCUACGGUGUAUGUAAAAAUGCAGGUGUACUGAGCCAGACUAAAUUGUGUAUUCAAUGGAAGGCGGAUGUAGGACUCAAAAGAAUGCAACCUUUUUUCUCUUAUCUAUUUCUGACCUGAAAGACCCCCACCUCGGCACCCUUCGAGUUGUCCCGCCUUACUGGACCCAACCAAUGCACAUCUUACACAUAAUUAUUGAUGUCUCAUGUUUCCCUAAAAUGUUUAAAAGCAAGCUGUACCUGACUACCUUGGGCACAUGUCGUUAGGACCUCCUGAGGCUGUGUCACAGGAAUGUCCUUAACCUUGUCAAAAUAAACUCCUAAAUUAAUUGAG
rnacentral:lncRNA from 1 species